rnacentral:rRNA from 1 species
AAUCAACGCUGGCGGCGUGCCUAACACAUGCAAGUCGAACGCGAAAGGGGCUUCGGCCCUGAGUAGAGUGGCGUCCGGGUGAGUAACGCGUGGGUAAUCUACCCUCGGGUGGGGAAUAACCAAUCGAAAGAUUGGCUAAUACCGCAUAAUGCAGCGGCUCGACAUCGAGACAGUUGUUAAAGCAGCAAUGCGCCAGAGGAGGAGCCUGCGUCUGAUUAGCUUGUUGGCGGGGUAACGGCCCACCAAGGCUACGAUCAGUAGCUGGUCUGAGAGGACGGCCAGCCACAACGGCACUGAAACACGGGCCAUACUCCUACGGGAGGCAGCAGUGGGGAAUUUUGCGCAAUGGGCGAAGCCUGACGCAGCAACGCCGCGUGAAGGAUGAAAUCCUUCGGGAUGUAAACUUCGCAAAUAUGGGAAGAACACAAUGACGGUACCAUAUGUAACGCCCCGGCUAACUCCGUGCCAGCAGCCGCGGUAAC